GUGAGGAACUUUCGGAGGGAAAACACAAUGACUGAGUGGCGGACGGGUGAGUAACGCGUAGGGAACCUGGCCCUUACAGGGGGAUAACAGAUGGAAACAACUGCUAAUACCGCAUAAGCGCCCAGCCUCGCAUGAGGCAGAGUGAAAAACUAAGGUGGUAAGGGAUGGCCCUGCGUCCGAUUAGCUAGUUGGUAUGGUAACGGCAUACCAAGGCGACGAUCGGUAGCCGGCCUGAGAGGGUGGACGGCCACAUUGGGACUGAGACACGGCCCAAACUCCUACGGGAGGCAGCAGUGGGGGAUAUUGCACAAUGGGGGAAACCCUGAUGCAGCGACACCGCGUGGGUGAAGAAGCGCUUCGGCGUGUAAAGCCCUAUCAGUGGGGAAGAAAAAGGACGGUACCCAAAGAAGAAGCACCGGCUAAAUACGUGCCAGCAGCCGCGGUAAUACGUAUGGUGCAAGCGUUAUCCGGAAUGACUGGGUGUAAAGGGAGCGUAGACGGUUGUACAAGUCUGAUGUGAAAGCCCACGGCUCAACUGUGGGAGUGCAUUGGAAACUGUAGAACUAGAGUAUCGGAGAGGCAAGUGGAAUUCCUAGUGUAGCGGUGAAAUGCGUAGAUAUUAGGAGGAACACCAGUGGCGAAGGCGGCUUGCUGGACGAAAACUGACGUUGAGGCUCGAAAGCGUGGGGAGCAAACAGGAUUAGAUACCCUGGUAGUCCACGCUGUAAACGAUGAAUACUAGGUGUUGGGGCCCGAAGGGCGUCGGUGCCGUCGCAAACGCAGUAAGUAUUCCACCUGGGGAGUACGUUCGCAAGAAUGAAACUCAAAGGAAUUGACNGGGACCCGCACAAGCGGUGGAGCAUGUGGUUUAAU
rnacentral:rRNA from 1 species